AAUAGUUAAUUUCUUGAAACCCAAAGAAUUUGGCGGUAUUUUAUUCCAUUCAGAGGAACCUAUCCCAUUAUUGAUAGUACACGAUUAGCUUUACUUAAUUUAAUUGUUUGUAUAUCUCCGUUACCAGAAAAUCUUUUUAGAGAUAUAAUUUUCUUUAUUUAUUAUUAUAAAGUAUUUCAGGUCAAGGUGCAGCUUAUAAUUAAGAGGAGGUGGGUUACAAUAUAUUUUUAUAUUUGGAUUUAAUAAUGAAUAUUAUUAAUGAAAUUGGAUUUGAUAGUAAUUUAAUUUAUUUAAUUUAAUUGAUAUUGGCUCUGAGGUGUGUACACAU
rnacentral:rRNA from 1 species